rnacentral:rRNA from 1 species
GAUGAACGCUAGCGGCAGGCUUAACACAUGCAAGUCGAGGGGUAUAGGUUUUCGGACCUAGAGACCGGCGCACGGGUGCGUAACGCGUAUGCAAUCUACCUUUCACAGAGGGAUAGCCCAGAGAAAUUUGGAUUAAUACCUCAUAGUAUAGCAGUUUCGCAUGAAACCACUAUUAAAGUAUCAACGGUGAAAGAUGAGCAUGCGUCCCAUUAGCUAGAUGGUAAGGUAACGGCUUACCAUGGCUACGAUGGGUAGGGGUCCUGAGAGGGAGAUCCCCCACACUGGUACUGAGACACGGACCAGACUCCUACGGGAGGCAGCAGUGAGGAAUAUUGGUCAAUGGACGCAAGUCUGAACCAGCCAUGCCGCGUGCAGGAUGACGGUCCUAUGGAUUGUAAACUGCUUUUGUACGAGAAGGAACAACAUUACGUGUAAUGUCUUGACGGUAUCGUAAGAAUAAGGAUCGGCUAACUCCGUGCCAGCAGCCGCGGUAACAC